rnacentral:rRNA from 1 species
UGCCUAAUACAUGCAAGUCGAGCGGACAGAUGGGAGCUUGCUCCCUGAUGUUAGCGGCGGACGGGUGAGUAACACGUGGGUAACCUGCCUGUAAGACUGGGAUAACUCCGGGAAACCGGGGCUAAUACCGGAUGGUUGUYUGAACCGCAUGGUUCAGACAUAAAAGGUGGCUUCGGCUACCACUUACAGAUGGACCCGCGGCGCAUUAGCUAGUUGGUGAGGUAACGGCUCACCAAGGCGACGAUGCGUAGCCGACCUGAGAGGGUGAUCGGCCACACUGGGACUGAGACACGGCCCAGACUCCUACGGGAGGCAGCAGUAGGGAAUCUUCCGCAAUGGACGAAAGUCUGACGGAGCAACGCCGCGUGAGUGAUGAAGGUUUUCGGAUCGUAAAGCUCUGUUGUUAGGGAAGAACAAGUGCCGUUCAAAUAGGGCGGCACCUUGACGGUACCUAACCAGAAAGCCACGGCUAACUACGUGCCAGCAGCCGCGGUAAUACGUAGGUGGCAAGCGUUGUCCGGAAUUAUUGGGCGUAAAGGGCUCGCAGGCGGUUUCUUAAGUCUGAUGUGAAAGCCCCCGGCUCAACCGGGGAGGGUCAUUGGAAACUGGGGAACUUGAGUGCAGAAGAGGAGAGUGGAAUUCCACGUGUAGCGGUGAAAUGCGUAGAGAUGUGGAGGAACACCAGUGGCGAAGGCGACUCUCUGGUCUGUAACUGACGCUGAGGAGCGAAAGCGUGGGGAGCGAACAGGAUUAGAUACCCUGGUAGUCCACGCCGUAAACGAUGAGUGCUAAGUGUUAGGGGGUUUCCGCCCCUUAGUGCUGCAGCUAACGCAUUAAGCACUCCGCCUGGGGAGUACGGUCGCAAGACUGAAACUCAAAGGAAUUGACGGGGGCCCGCACAAGCGGUGGAGCAUGUGGUUUAAUUCGAAGCAACGCGAAGAACCUUACCAGGUCUUGACAUCCUCUGACAAUCCUAGAGAUAGGACGUCCCCUUCGGGGGCAGAGUGACAGGUGGUGCAUGGUUGUCGUCAGCUCGUGUCGUGAGAUGUUGGGUUAAGUCCCGCAACGAGCGCAACCCUUGAUCUUAGUUGCCAGCAUUCAGUUGGGCACUCUAAGGUGACUGCCGGUGACAAACCGGAGGAAGGUGGGGAUGACGUCAAAUCAUCAUGCCCCUUAUGACCUGGGCUACACACGUGCUACAAUGGACAGAACAAAGGGCAGCGAAACCGCGAGG